UGUUCAGUACUUACUUAUGUUUUCUGUCUCUUUGUUGAAAUUCUUUCUUAGUUUAUGCAUUGUUCUGAGCUCACUGAGCAUCUUUAUGACUAUUAUUUUGAACUGUUUAUCAGGUAAAUCACUUAUGACCAUUUCAUUUAGAUCUGUUUCUAGAGUUAUAGCUUAUUUUUAGGAGAGGGGGCAUAUUCUUCUGCUGACUUAAAAAAAAUUUGCACAAAGUGAGAGUUGUGAGUUAAGUUUUAUUUGGGGCAAAAUGAGGACUGCAGCCUGGCAGAGAGCAUUUCAGAUAGCUCUGAGAAACUGCUCCAAAGAGUUAAGGGGGGAAGGUCAAUAUAUAUGUGAUUUUGGUGAAAGGGAGUUCUUACAGUCAAGCACAUAUUUUUGUGGAAUAUUUCUGUAAGUCACAAGGAGCAGAUGUCACCAUGAAGGAAUUUAGUGCUUUUCUAGAUAUGAGGAGGUGCAAGAAUUGGGCUUGCAAAAUCUGCUCCUGAAAACAUCUAUCUAAAGACCUGUCCUGCCAGUUUUUCCAGAGCACAGAGUGCCUCCUUCCUGAUCUCCACCCUGAGUUUUCUUCAGGGUGCUUAAGGUUAGCAGCUGCAGCAGCACCUGUAAUUUAAUGCCCAUUACAGCACCUGUAAUGGCAAAUGCCCAUGACAAGUACCAAUUUGUCGUUGACACCUCUAUUGAUCAUUUUUCUUCAUUAUUUAUGUUGGUUUCUGUGCAUUAGAUGAAAUAGCCACCUCUAUCAGUCUUGAUUUUAAUAGAAUGGUCUCAUGAAGGAGAUGAACCUUAUCAUUUAGCCUGUUCUGAGCUCUUGGUUUUCUCUCAAACCUUUGUAAUAGUCCAAGAUAUCCUCUUUGUUUUUAGUGGCUGCCAGCAGUUGAGGGCGUGCCAAGACUUGUCAGCGUGUCAGACGUGAGGAUCGCCUCUGGAUGUAUCUUAAAUUAGAAGCCUGACCCUCCGGCAGAAGAUCUUAACAUAGACCUGUGGGGGCCCGGCAAACGCAAGCCUCACUGGCCACCAGAGACAGGUGAUCAAAGAGUGUGUCCUUUGGAUGGCAACUGCCAAAACUAGGGAGCUAGAUGUAUUCACAAACUCCUUUGGGAGACUGGUGAGCACUUUCACUAGGAGUCUAAGAUGAUGGCAUAGGAAUACUCUGAGUUCACCUCCUGCUACGGACACACUAAUCUACACUUACACACAGAGCACUUUCUCCUGAAGACCUACCUGAGGGCAGAAUGAAUGACUACUACAUAUAAAAGGACCAUACAGAACCAGAUUUGAAAGAUGGAGAUAGGAAUCCCUCGCUCAGUGCAAUGAUCUGUAGUAAAGAGGCAUAUUGCUGAGGCACCAGACUGCACACACCUGCUUUUGGAUACUUGAAAAAACAGUGGUUUAAAAGGUACCUACACUAUCUGAAAGGAAAUCCAUUUACUAACACUAGAGGUUCUGCCAAAUGGGCAGGAACCUGAUGAAACUAUCUCUGUUUGUUGGCAUUGGUGAGUGCCAUUUUGAGGCCCCUGAGAGUCUCAUUGUCCCGGACCUACUCCAGCUCUAUCCACACACCCUUGGGGGUUAUGCUGUCUUAGGGCUACCCACAGCUCUUGCCCACUUCAGCCCACACCAACCUGCCAAUUCAGCCUCAGGAGCAGUUUGCCCUGUAAACUGAGCUUGUCCUUUACCCCUCCAGCUCCAUCUCCCUCAGCCUGCACCCACUCCAGCCCCAGCCAACCUGAAAAAGCCACCAGGUGACAGCAGUUGACACAGGAUGAUCUCACACAAGACCAGGAAAAGUAGCUGUUUUGCCUAACUCAAAUAAAAACCAAACAAAUGUCAAAGAGAGAUGAACAUGUUUCAGAUGAAAGAACAACAACAAAAAUGCAGGAAAAACCCCUAAUGAAACAGAGAUAAGUAAUUUGCCUGACAAAGUGUUCGGAGAAAUAGUUACUGAACUUGUGAGAAGAAUGGAGGAACUCAGAACUUCAACAAAAUCUUAGAAAACAUAAUAAUGAACUAACCAAAUUAAAGAAUAGCUGAAAUUUAAAAAUCCUAGAGGCAUUCAACAGUCAAUUAGCUGAUACAGAAGAAUGGAUAAGAAAUCUGAAAGAAUAGGAAAUUUCCCAAUCAGGACAGCAAAAAGAAGAAAUAAUUUUCUAAAAUGAGAAGAGUUUAAGGUUCCUCUAGGACAACAUCAAGUAUACUAACAUUUGGAUCAUAGUUGGGCUCCAAAAUCACUGCAGAUGGUGAUUGCAGCCAUGAAAUUAAAAGAUGCUUACUCCUUGGAAAGAAAAUUAUGACCAACCUAGAUAGCAUAUUGAAAAGCAGAGACAUUACUU